UACGAAGGGUGCAAGCGUUGUCCGGAAUUAUUGGGCGUAAAGAGCUCGUAGGCGGUUUGUCGCGUCUGCUGUGAAAUCCCAGGGCUUAACCCUGGGCCUGCAGUGGGUACGGGCAAACUAGAGUGCGGUAGGGGAGAUCGGAAUUCCUGGUGUAGCGGUGAAAUGCGCAGAUAUCAGGAGGAACACCGGUGGCGAAGGCGGGUCUCUGGGCAGUAACUGACGCUGAGGAGCGAAAGCGUGGGGAGCGAACAGG
rnacentral:rRNA from 1 species